AGUGGACGCUGGCGGUAGGCCUAACACAUGCAAGUCGAACGGCAGCACAGUAAGAGCUUGCUCUUACGGGUGGCGAGUGGCGGACGGGUGAGGAAUACAUCGGAAUCUACUUUUUCGUGGGGGAUAACGUAGGGAAACUUACGCUAAUACCGCAUACGACCUACGGGUGAAAGCAGGGGAUCUUCGGACCUUUCGCGAUUGAAUGAGCCGAUGUCGGAUUAGCUAGUUGGCCGGGUAAAGGCCCACCAAGGCGACGAUCCGUAGCUGGUCUGAGAGGAGGAUCAGCGACACUGGAACGUAGACAGCGUCAAGACUCCUACGGGAGGCAGCAGUGGGGAAUAUUGGACAAUGGGCGCAAGCCUGAUCCAGCCAUACCGCGUGGGUGAAGAAGGCCUUCGGGGUGUAAAGCCCGUUUGUUGGGAAAGAAAAGCAGCAGGUUAAUACCCCGCUGGUGUGACGGUACCCAAAGAAUAAGCACCGGCUAACUUCGUG
rnacentral:rRNA from 1 species